GGUUGGGAAAACGCAUAACCUGAGUAGAGGGGGGGGGAGGGGGAAUUCCUUGUGUAGCGGGGGAAAAGGUUUAGAUUUUAGGAGGGAAUACCCAGCGGGGGAAGGCGGACUUCUGGAAUUUUAACUGACGCUGAGGGUUACGAAAGCGGGGGGAGGCAAACCAGGAUUAGAUACCCUGGUAGUCCACGCUGUAAACGAUGAGUGCUAGGUGUCGGGAGGUCAAAUCUCGGCGCCGCCGCUAACGCAUUAAGCACUCCGCCUGGGGAGUACGUACGCAAGUAUGAAACUCAAAGGAAUUGACGGGGACCCGCACAAGCAGCGGAGCAUGUGGUUUAAUUCGAAGCAACGCGAAGAACCUUACCAGGGCUUGACAUAUACAGGAAUAUGCUAGAGAUAGCAUAGUCCCUUCGGGGACUUGUAUACAGGUGGUGCAUGGUUGUCGUCAGCUCGUGUCGUGAGAUGUUGGGUUAAGUCCCGUAACGAGCGCAACCCCUAUCUUUAGUUACCAUCAGGUCAUGCUGGGGACUCUAGAGAGACUGCCGGUGAUAAACCGGAGGAAGGUGGGGAUGACGUCAAAUCAUCAUGCCCUUUAUGUCCUGGGCUACACACGUGCUACAAUGGUCUGAACAAAGCGCAGCGAACUCGUGAGAGCAAGCGAAUCGCAUAAAACAGAUCUCAGUUCGGAUUGUAGGCUGCAACUCGCCUACAUGAAGUCGGAGUUGCUAGUAAUCGUGAAUCAGAAUGUCACGGUGAAUGCGUUCCCGGGUCUUGUACACACCGCCCGUCA
rnacentral:rRNA from 1 species